rnacentral:tRNA from 1 species
CUCAGCUGGUUCAGAGCAUCUGCCUUACAAGCAGAGGGUCGGCGGUUCGAAUCCGUCAACGCCCACAA